ACUCCUACGGGAGGCAGCAGUGGGGAAUAUUGGACAAUGGGCGCAAGCCUGAUCCAGCCAUACCGCGUGGGUGAAGAAGGCCUUCGGGUUGUAAAGCCCUUUUGUUGGGAAAGAAAUCCAGCUGGCUAAUACCCGGUUGGGAUGACGGUACCCAAAGAAUAAGCACCGGCUAACUUCGUGCCAGCAGCCGCGGUAAUACGAAGGGUGCAAGCGUUACUCGGAAUUACUGGGCGUAAAGCGUGCGUAGGUGGUCGUUUAAGUCCGUUGUGAAAGCCCUGGGCUCAACCUGGGAACUGCAGUGGAUACUGGGCGACUAGAGUGUGGUAGAGGGUAGCGGAAUUCCUGGUGUAGCAGUGAAAUGCGUAGAGAUCAGGAGGAACAUCCAUGGCGAAGGCAGCUACCUGGACCAACACUGACACUGAGGCACGAAAGCGUGGGGAGCAAACAGGAUUAGAUACCCUGGUAGUCCACGCCCUAAACGAUGCGAACUGGAUGUUGGGUGCAAUUUGGCACGCAGUAU
rnacentral:rRNA from 1 species